GGGUAUGGCUAGAAGCCAGGCUAACUGUGAGACGUACAUGUCGAGCAGGUGCGAAAGCAGGCCCAAAUGAUCCGACGGUAGAAUGUGGAAUUGCCGUCGCUCAACGGACAAAAGGUACGCUAGGGAUAACAGGCUGAUCGCGCCCAAGCGUUCACAGCGACGGCGCGGUUUGGCACCUCGAUGUCGACUCAUCACAUCCUGGGGCUGGAGCAGGUCCCAAGGGUUCGGCUGUUCGCCGAUUAAAGUGGUACGUGAGUUGGGUUCAGAACGUCGUGAGACAGUUCGGUCCCUAUCUGCUGUGGGUGUUCGAGACUUGAGAGGAGCCGUCCUUAGUACGAGAGGACCGGGAUGGACGUACCUCUGGUGUACCGGUUGUGACGCCAGUCGCAGCGCCGGGUAGCUAUGUACUGGAGGGAUAAACGCUGAAAGCAUCUAAGCGUGAAACCCGCCUCGAAACUAGGUCUCGCUGAGAGUCGUGGUAGACCACCACGUUGAUAGGCCGCGUGUGUAAGUGCAGUGAUGUACUAAGCUUAGCGGUACUAAUAGCUCGAUAGGCUUGAUUCU
rnacentral:rRNA from 1 species